rnacentral:rRNA from 1 species
AGAGACAGCAGUCGCCGCGGUAACACCGAGGGGGCAAGCGUUAUUCGGAAUUAUUGGGCGUAAAGGGCGCGUAGGCGGUGCUUUAAGUCGGAUGUGUAAUCCCCGGGCUCAACCUGGGAACUGCAUCCGAGACUGGAGCGCUAGAGUGCUGGAGAAGGUGGUAGAAUUCCACGUGUAGCGGUGAAAUGCGUAGAGAUGUGGAGGAAUACCGGUGGCGAAGGCGGCCACCUGACAGCAACUGACGCUGAGGCGCGAAAGUGUGGGUAGCAAACAGGAUUAGAUACCCCCGUAGUCCCUGUCUCUUAUACC